UCUCUGCUGUGGCUGCUCUUUCUGACCUCACCGCUGAGCUGCACCACAAACACAGCCUCUCUGACUGUGAGUCCCAGCAGCUCUCAGUUCUUCAGCUGGUCGUCUGCCUCUCUGAGCUGUGAGGACGACACAUCUGCUGGAUGGACUCUGAGGAGGAAGACGAGUGAAGAAGAAAAAUCUAAGU